rnacentral:lncRNA from 1 species
CAGCAGGAGCAGAGGAAGCCAAGCACUUCAUCUAAUUUAAUUUUCUCUUGCCUUUUUAAUAUAUGUUACAUCAUAAAGUUGGAUGCGUCAGCUUAAAUGACAGCUGCUGGUGAAUGAUGCGGAAAGAAAUUUUAAAAGGAAAGCCAGCUAGAACACUGUCAUCCCAUGUGGAGAUGUCGAUGUAGAUCAGACAGACUUCCUUCCUAUUGGGGAUAAUGGCUUCCAAUCCAGAAUUUUGAUAGGCGGAGAAAGAGGAGCUGAGAGAGGCACACCAGCUUUUUAACUUCCUGGACUUUAACAGGCACACAUGGCUUCUAUUAUAGAUCACUGGCUUCCCCCACCCGAAGGGAGGCUCAGGAAAGGAGUUAUGACAUCAUCGCUUGUUCAUUAUCCAUCUCAGACCACUGACAACUCCCCAAGUACACCCCGCUGCAGUCAGACUCUGUUCCUUCGCCCGUUUGGCUCCUGCCUGGAAUGUUCCAUUCUCUGCUUUGCCUUCAAGGACUGAGACUCAAAUCUCCUUACUUGAAACUGGCUUCUCCUCUCAGAAAGCACAGCAUUUUGCUUGCGUGGUGCAGAGGAGUGAUCAUUGUGUUCAUCUCUGCCGGAAAACUGUGGUCUCUGAGAGGUCACGUACCGCAUAUACUAUAUUUGCUUUUAAUGAAAGAAACAUUUAAGCAUCUGAAAA